rnacentral:lncRNA from 1 species
GACAUGGGAUUGUGCCAGGUUUCCUUCCCUGAGUGGCCGUAAGAACUAUUAACGCCCCUUCAAAGUGAAAAAGAAAAAAAAAAAAGCUCUUCUCUUUCUUAAAGUUAACUGAGGUUACUGGAAGCACUGGGGUUUCCUGGUCCAUGGAACAGGACUGCUUUCUGCAGAUUGCCCCGCCCCAUGCGAUGUCACUGCGCUCAGCUGAUUUAAGGACAAGAGCACACAGGGUAGAGGUCUCCACUCUGGACCCAGGACAUCAGCUCUGAUUCCAGGAGACGGGGCGCCCUGCGGGCUGCGGAGGACAGACUCCGGCGGGUAACGGGUUCCUCUUAGUCUUUUGCACAAGUUUUUUUAUCAGAUCCAGGGUCAUCAGGUUCCCCCGCGAGGUUGUGGGGAGGCAGGGUGCCGCGCCUGAAUUCCAGAGUUCGCUUCCUAUAACCUGUGGUAACAUCCAUGGAUAGCCGGCUGGGAAGCAUCUGGGGCCCAUAGGCUUAGGCGGCAGAGGGCCGGAGGUGUUGAAGGCUUGGGAAGGGAAGUCCCGGGGAAGGUGGCCGAGUGAGGAGAGGGACCUAUCUCGGGGAGGAGACGAGAAGUGUCCGGUCUAUCACCAGAGUCACCUUUAAACCUCUGGCUUGGUGCCUACAGAGCCCAGUGUCUGUGAUAACUGAUAACGCGGUUAACAACAAUUCAGUGGGCAGACCAAAGAAGCAGGUCUGCAAAGCAUGAUUCUGUGACUUUGUUUCCCUUUAAACAGGGUGGUUCUGAAAGCAGAAGUGGCAGGGGAAGUGAUCAGAGAGAUGAAAGCACUUGGUAGUAGCUCCUCAGGUCCUAGGGUUGGGGUGAGGUGGUUGCUCGUGGUUCAGAGGCAAGGCCCUAAGAGGAAGUGGGUGUACUGUCUGAAGUUCUCCAAAGCUGGGUUUGUCGUGCCUGGGAAAUAGAAACUGAUCCCUAAUGUGUGUGUGUGUGUGUGUGUGUGUGUGUGUGUGUGUGUGUGUGUGUGUGUGUGGUGGGGAAGUGGGAGAGGGGAAUAGGCAGGAACUGAGGGUUUCUGUGUCUGAACCUAUGGCAGAGCAGUGACUUAGUGCCACAGCACGCUGAACCGGAUGGAAGGGUUUAAAUGCCAGAAGACAUUUAAACUUUAAAUGCCUCUAUCUUUGUGAAAGUGAAAGAAGAGACUGACAUGGCUGUGGAUUUUCCAGAUGGGAUAGGAGUUCUGCCAAUCAGAAAGCAGAACUCCAUUUCUGAAUUAUUGACAUAGCAGGAGGACUUUCAGGAGUCGCUGCUGGACCCAAAAGGCAGUCUCUACAUUCUAAUGUCUUUGUUGGUGAAAAUAUGAAACAAAACGAAAAACUACUCUCAAACUUCUCGAGGGUAUUACUUCCUGCUCUUAUGUAACUGCAAGGGAGGAGAGGAGGUGUCUUUUAAAUUGUGCACAGUUUGUAAAGCCCACUGUUCUCCUCAGCACACAGUAGGUUUUCACUGAGAGGGCACUUGGUGGAUCUAAGAAGUCUAGACUUAUAACAAGCAAGGGAGAAGGAAAACAAAGAUUAGAGGCAUCUAAAAGUCUUAAAAUGCCAGGUGAGACCCACACCCGUUAGUCCCAGCACUGGAAAGACAGUCGCAGGUGGAUCUCCAGAAGUUCAAGACCAACCUGGUCUACAUAGUGAGUUCUAGGUCACCCAGGGCUGCACAGUAAGACUUUUUCUUUAAAAAAGUCUCAAAGUGCAGACUUAGAGCCAUUGGUUUUAUCAUAGAUUUUGUUUCUACAGAAAAACAAAAACAAAAACAAACAAACAAACAAAAAAAACAACCAGCAGAUGGUGGUUUCCGGCGGUGUUGGGGUGAAAACUCAGGGUCUCCUACUUGCAAGGAAUGUUCUUUGGUUGGUGGUUGAGACUCUGAGAAUCCCCAAGGGUCCAGAUUAGUUGACUCUGUUGGCUUUUCUAUAGAGUUCCUAUUCCCUUAGGGGCUUCAAUCCAAGAAGGGAAAUUCUUAUAGCCCACUGUGUUGAGUUUUUCUUUUCUAUUUUUAAAAAAGCUCUAUUUGUUUGGGGCUAGAGAAGUGGCAAUUACGAGCACUGCUUAUGAUUGCAGAAGACCUGAGUUGAUUCCUAGCUCUCCCAAGGCAGCUCACAGCCAUCAGUAACUUCAGCUUUAGGGAAUCUAACUCCCUCUCUGGCCUGCACAGACACCAGGCACACACAUGCAUACAUGUGGACAGAAUACCCAGAUACAUAGAGUAAAAAUAAAUGAAGUUUUAAAAGGAUGUUAUUAUUUUCUUUUAUGUGUCUUGGUGUUUAGUGUGCAUGUAUGUCUGUUGACUGUAUGCAUGCUGUGCCCUUGGAAGCCAGAAGAGGGUUUCAGAUUCCAAGUUACAGACAGCUGUUAUCCACCAUGUGGGACUGGGAUUUGAACUCAGGUCCUGUGGAAGAACAGCCAGUGUUCUUUCACUGAGCCAUCUCUCCAUCCCUUUCUUUCCUAUAUUAUGCAUUUAAUGCCAUGUAUAUGAAGUGUCUGCCUAACCCAAGGGAAAAUGUUGAGAAAGAGACAGAGAGAAUAUGAAUCUGACCACACACUCUGUAGCAACCAAGUCAUAACCCCUGAUUAUUUAAAACUUGAUUGGCUAAUAACUGGCAGCUUCCCUGAUUUCGCCUCUAUUUCCUACUCAGGAAGCCAAAUAUGUUCUCUAAAUUAAUCACAGCCAAGCUUAGCAGACUUUUCAACUCUCCUUCCUGUGAGAUCCAGCCAAUGAACGUGAUGGUGGUGGACUCUCUAGUUAUAGUUAGCUCAGAACCAGUAUCAUGCUCUCAAGUGAGUGCUCUUAAUAAUACCCACAGUUUCCUGGAGGUUCCAGCAAGACACCAUCUCACCACUUGCCGCUCUAGAGCUCAACCUUUGGCCAGGUGAGUACCCAUCACGCCUCUUGUGCUUUGCAGAUGGGGGCUUGUUGGUUCUGCACUGAUGUGGUGAGCUGCGGCUCAGAUAGAUCUCUUGUAUGAAGUUCUCAGCUACUCGCUUUCAGUUUGAGUUUUGUUAAUGAUUCUCACUUGAGGGCGGAGUCCUGGGUGGAGUCAGCCUAUUCCUUUUUAUCCCCUUCUCUCUUUCCUGUGCCCUAUUAACCAUCACAAUGAGAGUUGCUGGGGAGAACUGGCCCUACAGACCAGCAACUUUGCAAUUCUCCCUGAACUGGUGUCCGUUUAGACCAAGAAUCGUAGGUCACUAAUAAAACCAGAUAUGGUUCUCCAUCUAUCUUGAGUUUUUGUCAUGAGAUUCUAGCUUUGAUCCAAAAAGUCAUCUCUCUGGUUUGCAGCCAACCUCAUGAGGGGACACAGAUGGUUGGGUCUGGAUUCAAAGGUUGGUGACAUGAGAUGCAGGUGUGGAGAUGGCUUUCACGCUUCCUGUUGAUUGAUAGCUCUUCAGGGUGUUCUAUGUCUAAAUACUCUACUCAUCU